AAUUAUYCAUUUACAUUAUUUUUAUGUUGUGACCUCUGAGCUCCAGAUUGGGACAGAGGGAAUCAGCAUAAUUUUUUGUGGUGCAUUUACUUGAUUGGUGCUUGGGGAUGUUUGAGGCAGAUUUGUUUCCGUCGUUUUGAGGCCAGCUUGCUGGUACCCAAACGGUGUUAGCAUUUUUUGUCUUGGGCAUUUGAGUAUGGCUCACGUGUAUUUAUUGGACAGAUCUGAGUGUAAGUUACGGUCGCAUGCGACACGUGCUUUUCAAUUAGUUCGGUCCAGUUAAUGCUCUCGUACUCGUUCCCCAUGUAAAAGCCGGUCAUCUAUCCGACCCGUCUUGAAACACGGACCAAGGAGUUUAUCGUGUGCGCAAGUUUUUGGGUGUUAAAAACUUAAAAGCGAAAUGAAAGUAAAUGACUCUUUAGAGUCUGAUGUGCGAUCUUGUAAAAAAGUGUAGCAUGGCCCCAUUCUAACUGUUUACAGUAGGGUGGCGGAAGAGCGUACGCGGUGAGACCCGAAAGAUGGUGAACUAUUCCUGAGCAGGACGAAGCCAGAGGAAACUCUGGUGGAAGUCCGAAGCGGUUCUGACGUGCAAAU
rnacentral:rRNA from 1 species